rnacentral:lncRNA from 1 species
UAGCGUUUGAACACAUGGCAUGUGAUGGCUAUUACACCGUCCUCAUUAUUCCUCUCCAGAACAGCCUCUACAGCCCUGACGCACUGCACUGCUUCCACUGGCUAAAGAGACGUAGAGAUCUGGAAAGACAAAAAGACGUCCUGUGGGCUGGACUGCAGGUUGUGGAACAAACACAGCUGUGGUACCAGAAUCGCCUGAAGCUGAAUUUACAAAGGCAAGUUAGUUUCAGCACAGGAGACUUGGAUGGAGAGGGCAGGUGGUCCUGCGCUAUGCGGUCUUGUAUGCAGCGUGUGAAUGGCAGUCUGGGUAAUCUGAUUAGUGACUCCUGUGUCUGGAACAAUCUGGCCCCAGAGGAGAGUGGAGGAUCGGACUGGGACCUCCGGUGGAGCAAUGCCACAUUGGUCAAGGAAGUGAAUCAGCAGAAUCAACAGAUUUCCAUGUUGGAGCUUGAGAAGGCACAACUUCUUCAGCAGCUGGUGUUUUACAGCACACCUGAUUGAUGACAUCCGCACAUUUUCAACUUUAAUUACAAAAGGGUUUAAUUCAAAUCACACAGUUAACGGUAAAUAGUUAAAAAUGCUUUGAAAAGACUGAAUGUUAAAAUUAAUUUAAGCUCUGGUAUACACCCAGUCCACCCU